GGCGGGGGAGGGUCCGUCCUGGCGAGCGGGCAGACCUGCUUGAAGGUGGUGGUGAAGCCGCGUGGAUGGGUUUUUUUUCCCUCAGGAAGUUUUCUAAGACUCGCGGACCGACGUGUGGAGCGUUGGCGCUUUUACAAGUGCUUUUGUCGGGAAAUGAAUUAGAAGUGAGGCCUUUUCGAGCCGCAGGGAGCCGACAACAACUACGUUUUUAUUCCUUCAGAGAGAAGUCCCUCUUGAGAACCUCUAAGGCCCUCCCUGAGGGACCAUCUCGACCUUUCUUCGGUCAGAAUCACUUGUUCCCUGCUCCCAAAAUGGCGCCACAGGACAGAGGAGUUGGGGGAAUUCAUCACUCUCUAGCCCCCCAAAUACGUGGAGACAGUGUUUACUGUACAGAUGGGGCUUCUACGAAAUGCCCUGAACCCCACUUCCAGUUAGACCUGGCGCCCUUGAACCCAUGGAAAUCUUGGAGCAGGACUCCUUUCGUUGGGGUCGCUGCAGAUCAUCAACAGAGUGCCUCUGCUGGCUUAUGAGUUUGACCCCAGUGUUUGCCCAGAACGUGAUGUUCACAAAAGUUAAGUUGUCACAAUCCUGAUUUCAGAGCCACACUCUGUUCUGUAGGGUUAGUUAAGCCAGCUGUCCAAGGAGCACUAAUGCACUGGAAGUAAUUGGUUUUAUUUUGCCCCAUGGCUACAAAGUCUCUGGUCCUAGGAAGAUGGAGGACAGAUUGAGAGAGCAGAAAGUUCGUUUUAAAUUAAUUACCUCCCUCCCAGUGACAACAUCUAGGCCUAGGAAGGAUGGCACACAUAGAAGCAAGGAUUCCUCCUGUGUCUGCAAGUUACAUGAACUAAUCCAGAUGUAUGUAGGGUUGGUAUCCAGAGUCAAAAUACCAACUGUUUUAUUUAGAUCGCACCUCUUUACAAAAGACAGUAACUUCCUUGAAGGAUUUUAUCAUCAGGAUAGAUGAGAAUAACAUACAAAACAAUAGACCUUGAUGAAUGUGUUGACACAAGUCGGUGCCAGGACUGGCCACCUGAUACAUGGUCCAGAACGUUUCCCAUUAUCCCAUCAUGCCCUGGUUAUAAAAGCCAUAGGAGUUCCAAGGAGGUUAUCGGGAGUGGGAGAGUGGUCUGUCACCCUAGUCCUCCAUUACCAGAAUCAUUUGAUGCUGAUGAACUCAAGUUUUGCCUCCCUCUGCACACAGUCCCUAAGUGAUCUCUCACAAACUCUCAGCUUCAACCACCGCGCAUUGGUUGCUGACCCUCAGUGAUCUGCUGUUGAGAUCUGUGUCACCCUGGAAGGAAGAAGGAGAGAGAGUGAGAAAAUCCUUGUGGACCAGAGCCAAGAGUUCUGACAUCUUUGCCUCUUUCUUGCUGGAGAGACAGUGUCCCCUAGAUGCAUGGGCUGCAGCUGCACAGGCUUCCUUCAUCAUAAUGGAUACCAUUAUUGGAUCAGAGCUGGUUCAUUCUAUGUGAGGUUGUGAAGGUUAGAGACACCUUUGGGCCUGGGAUGCCUAACUGGGCCUGGACUGCAUACAGGCCAUUGAGAGGGCUGGAGUGUUGUCCCCUGGGAUACAGUGCUCACCACGAGCCUGCCUAUGGUGUCUCAUGAGGGGCCCACAGGCUUGAUUUGCCAUUGUGAUAUGUCUUCCCAAGAAAGAAAAGCUGCUCGUUACGUCCCACACAUGGAUUUAAAAACUAAGCAAGAUUUCCCUAGGGAAAUUAUGGAAUACUUGUACCCAAUGGGGCUCUUCACAUCCUCAAGCAUGCCUGUCCAGCUAGCUUCGUCUCCCGCUGCAUCCAACACUCCCCCCUCUUCCUGAGCUCCUCUUCCCUAGUCACGCUCUUCCCUUGUAUGCAUCUGACCCCUGCGCUUAGGCAUAUGUUGGGUCUUCUAUCUUGAAUUCCUUUCUUUCCUUCUCUAUCUGGUGAGGGAUUAAUUCUACUUAUUCUUUUUAAUUUCCAUUAAAAACUUGUUCUUUUCAUUUAUUUUACUUAAUCUCAGAAACAAAUACUUUAUAAAAUACUUUGAUCAUGCAUUUGGAUGUCAUGGCAGUAUCAAUUGCUGUAAAAAUGUUGAUAAACUUCCUCUCAGUUUCUGCACUUUUGUUGUCCUGGGCAGGUAACAAAUGGACCACUCACUGAGUGGCGCUGCCUUAGACUUUUCUUAGACUUUUUCUUCCAUGGAGCUGCUCUACCCAGCCACCUCAGUUUAAACCAGUCACUCCUCCCCUGUCAUCCUCCCCAGUGAGAUGCCAACGUAGCAUCAUAGAACAUUCACUCACAGCCUUGUGGUGAUGUGUGCUUCUAUUUCUCCACCAGAUUCUGAGCUCCACAAGGGAGGACAUUCUUUCUUAUUCAUUAUUUAUCUCUGUAUCUCAGAGUCCAGACCUAGUCCAUAUUCAGAGCUUGGUCAGUAUUUGUGGAACUGAAUAUAAAGCCACUUUGGAAAACUAAACUCUUGUAGGGUCAUGUACUAAUUUGUUUAAGACAUCUCAUGGCUACUGAUGGCAUAUCUAGCCCUGUGACC